UAUAAAGUUAUAUGAAACUUAUUAAAAGGCUGCAUUUUAAAAUAGAAAAAGGUUAUUUAGAGUUGUAAUAUUAUUUCAUGAUUUUACUGUUUUUUGAGCAAAUAAAUGCAGCCUUGAUGAUCAUAAGAGUCUUCUAUCAAAGUAUUUACUUUUGAACGGUAGUGUAUCUACGGUUAUCUGUACCAACUGCUAAUUUGAUAGUAACCACCACUGACUUGAAGGAUUCUGAAAGCUACUUAUAUUGUUUGAAGGAAAUACCCCAUAAUAAUCUUUCAUUUGUAACAGUAUUAACUGUAAUCUUUGAGCAGAAACUAUGGUUACUGUGGUAACUUACUGUAAUAACUAACUCUCAGGUCAAGGGUAAAACCUAAACUUGCCUGAAGACGGAAGACCUAAAGAAACGGGCUUUCAACAGCCUUUCUUUCAUUUCUGAAGGUGUAGAUACUUGAGAAAAAAAAAGUGUCACUAUUUUUGACUUUUUUGUUUUUUACUUUCCAUUGAGCUCAUGUACCUUUAUUGUAAAGAAUUUGUAAUGUAGUGGAAUACUAGUUUACUGUUGCUCAAUCAAACUUAUCCUGUGCUCUCAUCAUACCUUUUUGAUAUUUUAUGGUAUGAAUAUUUAAGCCCUUCAGGAUGCUGAAAUUCAGCUCCUAUUCAGCCGAUAAUCGGAGAGCAACGGAGGCUUGUCUGUGCGACAGAAUAGAGUAGAAGUUGUUUAAAACCACUAUUAUUUUUUAACCCAUUUUGUCUUUAAUAUAUUAACAUAGACUUCAUUAUUAGAAGCUCAUUUUUGUCUCUGUUAUGUUUGUGUUUCACAAUCAGCUAAAAAUGGCUUUGUUUACAUGUUCCAGAAAUGUAAAGUUUAGCAUGUAAACGUGUCUGGUGACGCAUUGUUGUCUGAUCCCUAGGCAUUACAAAGUUUUGAUUCUGUUUGGAGACGUGUGUCUCCUGUAGAUCAGUGCCUGCUGUUUCAAAUGUACCUCAAAGAUGAUUGGUCAUCCAAGUCAUAUGCCUUUGAGAUACACUUGUAGUGUUACAUGUGUUUAUCACUAUAGAUAUUUUUGUCUUUGGGUUUUUUUAAACUGUAAAUAUUCAUGCCAUGUACAAAGAAAAUGAGCUGUAUUAUAAAAAUUCUGUUCAUGCUUUUCUUUUUUUUAAAUAAAAUGUUUCGCAAAACA